AUUGAACGCUGGCGGCAUGCCUUACACAUGCAAGUCGAACGGCAGCGGGGGAGAAGCUUGCUUUUCCUGCCGGCGAGUGGCGAACGGGUGAGUAAUACAUCGGAACGUGCCCUGUAGUGGGGGAUAACUAGUCGAAAGAUUAGCUAAUCCCGCAUACGACCUGAGGGUGAAAGGGGGGGACCGCAAGGCCUCAUGCUAUAGGAGCGGCCGAUGUCUGAUUAGCUAGUUGGUGGGGUAAAGGCCUACCAGGGCGACGAUCAGUAGCUGUUCUGAGAGGACGAUCAGCCACACUGGGACUGAGAGACGGCCCAGACUCCUACGGGAGGCAGCAGUGGGGAAUUUUGGACAAUGGGCGAAAGCCUGAUCCAGCAAUGCCGCGUGUGUGAAGAAGGCCUUCGGGUUGUAAAGCACUUUUGUCCGGAAAGAAAUGGCUCUGGUUAAUACCUGGGGUCGAUGACGGUACCGGAAGAAUAAGGACCGGCUAACUACGUGCCAGCCGCCGCCGUAA
rnacentral:rRNA from 1 species